AGAGAGAGCACCAGAAUACAUGUAAACAUGCAAAACUUUUUCCCCUUGUCUGGUUGCUAGAGCACAUUGUCAUUGCUUUGCUAACUCAAUUCAUGAUUUAUGCUAUUUUUAAAAAUAUCUAGGAUUUCUGUAGCAUAUGAGACACAAAUAUACUCGCUUACCAUGAAUUAUCUUGACACUUUUUUGCUCCCACAAUUUGAACCCCAAAGAUGAAUUAUUCUUUUAUCUUUCAAGUGAAGGUGAGUCCAAUCCUAAGUAAGAUGUCAAAAGGCAUAUAUUUUGGUGUUGAAAUGAGAUAUGAAGAUCCUGCAGAGCAAUGCUGAUUAAGUGGAUGGAUAUGAUCUUGGUGCUUGAUGUGCAUUUAGGCUACUUGGGUGUGUGGAAUCAUGCUCCAAGAUUUGUGUAACUGCUUUGCACUAGGUAGUGAGUAAAUUCAUAAUUACUUAGCUAUAGUUUUUCCCUGAGAUGGAGGGAGUGGGUAUAGAUGGAUUAUUUUAGUUGAAAUUCCUGCACUUAGGUCUAACCCAAAGAAGAGGCUGUAAAUGGAUUAUU
rnacentral:misc_RNA from 1 species